AACGAACGCUGGCGGCAUGCCUAACACAUGCAAGUCGAACGAGACCUUCGGGUCUAGUGGCGCACGGGUGCGUAACGCGUGGGAGCCUGCCCUUAGGUUCGGAAUAACUCCCCGAAAGGGGUGCUAAUACCGGAUAAUGUCUUCGGACCAAAGAUUUAUCGCCUUGGAUGGGCCCGCGUUGGAUUAGCUAGUUGGUAGGGUAAAAGCCUACCAAGGCGACGAUCCAUAGCUGGUCUGAGAGGAUGAUCAGCCACACUGGGACUGAGACACGGCCCAGACUCCUACGGGAGGCAGCAGUGGGGAAUAUUGGACAAUGGGCGAAAGCCUGAUCCAGCAAUGCCGCGUGAGUGAUGAAGGCCUUAGGGUUGUAAAGCUCUUUUACCCGGGAUGAUAAUGACAGUACCGGGAGAAUAAGCUCCGGCUAACUCCGUG
rnacentral:rRNA from 1 species